GGUAAUAUGGCUUAGUGACAGAGUGCUUGCCUAGCAUGCAUGAAGCCCUGGGUUCGAUUCCUCAGUACCA
rnacentral:tRNA from 1 species